rnacentral:tRNA from 1 species
GGCGGUGUAGCUCAGCCGUAAGAGCGUCGGGUCAAAAGUCCGGAGGUCCCCAGAUCGAAACUGGGUAUCGCCG